CAACUCGACAUAAUAGAUAUAUAUAGAAUAUUCCACCUAACAAAGGAAUACAGAUUUUUUUUCAGCAGCAGAUAGAACCUUUUCCAAAGCCAAUCCUAUAAUAGGACCCAAAUUUCAAGUCUCAACAAAUACAAAAGAGAGAGAGAGAGAGAGAGAGAGAGAGAGAGAGAGAGAGAGAGAAUCCCUUAUGUCCUAUUAGAACACAGUGGAAUAAAAUUAAAGAUUUGGAGACUAAACAUGUUUAAUUAGCAGUGGAUCAUCUAAGAAAUACAAGAAAAUUUAAAAUUCCUAGUGAUAAAUGACAAUGAGAAGACAACUUCUCAGAACCUCUGGGGGCUCUAAAAAGGAAGGCAGCCCUCUCACAGUAAAAAACUGACGGAUAUCAAAUCAGCAACCUUAUGGUGCAUCUCAAGGCUCCUGAAAAGCAACCAGCAGCCAAUCCCAAGCCCUGCAGAUGGCAAGGAAUAUAAAGAUCAGGGGAGAAUUAAUGAAAUAGAAAACAUGGAAAGAGAAAAACUGUGUUACAUAGGGGUCAACUUCAUGACAGCUGCACUGUAAACAAACCACUAACUCAUUCCUAUAAGCCCAAACCUUGAGACCAGGAUUAGGCCAUUCAUGAGGUCGGAUGGCCUAUCUUCCACUAGACUCCUCUGACCACCGCCAUGGUGGAAACCAAGCUUCUAGAUUAUGAAUCACGGUGGUAUGUGACACCAAGUGUCACAACUCAAUUGCUCAAUUGCUCCUACAAUAACAACAAUCAGAACUCCACUUGUGGUCAAAGUUGAAUUAACAGGCACCAGACUCACCCUCUGAAGGGUAUGGACUAAAAGCUGCUAGACAAACAAUGGCAAUCAAUGACUGUCAUGUACUGGCCACCACAGAGCCUAAGAUGGCAGUCCUUAAAGGAAGGAAAGAAGGUCCUGUGAUUGCCCCUAUUUACACUAUGAUGAGUGAGGAGCAGAGAACCCCAGGCUGACACUAGGUAAAGAUUAAAGGCACUAAGCUAUCUGGAAAGCUAGCUGGAAAUGGCUUCAUCCCACAACUCUCUUCAGUGAGCAUACAUGCCACAAUCACCCAGCCUAAGAAACAAGAAACCCGCUCCGGCACCUACAGUACUACCUAACCCUGUUUCCACACUGUUUUCUUCAUUAGUUACUCACUAUCUCUACCUUGUUGAGCUCACAGAAAUACUCAUUUUACAUUAACAGCAAUCAAACCGUGGGCUGGAGAGAUGGCUCAGAGGUUAAGAACACUGGCUGCUCUUCCAGAGGUCCUGAGUUCGAUUCCCCACACCCACAUGGUGGCUUCACAUCCAUCUAUAGUAAGAUCAGGUGCCCUUUCUGGUGUGCAGAUGUACAUGCAGGCAGAACACUGUGUGCCUAAUAAAUAAAUGAAUCUUUUUUAAAAAUUAAAAACUUUAAAAUAAGUAAAUAAAACCGUGCAAAUUAAAACCAAAGGAGAAAGCCAGGGAAGAACUCAGCAGCAAACAUGAACCUGUAUGAGACUAUAAUCAUUGAAUGUAAGAGCAGUGGUAAGCUGAACAUGUGGCUCAGAAUAGAAUUGAAGUGUGAAAGUGGCCUAGGUAUUAACAGCAAGAGACAGCAGGAUAGGAGCUGCCCCACACUACCACCUACAGGACACCAGUGGGAAAGCAGUCUCACCUUAGCUCUAUCAGACCACCCAAAUGACUGCACAGUCACAUCCAAUCGUUUCAUUAACAUCCGCCGGCGGCAUUCAUAUUCACAGGAAAGAGCAUCAUUAAUUCUUUCCAGUUUUUC
ensembl:lncRNA